rnacentral:lncRNA from 1 species
UGCAGUUCAUUUUACUUAUGAAGUUGGCCUUGUGGACAAGUUCCCCCCUGUGCCCCUGCUGAAAUCUUUCUUGAGGGAUGCAAAGAAGGCUGCAUCUUCUAUUUUAGAUGAUCCCAAUAAUACUGGCCGGGCUGCGGUAUGCUCAUAUUUACUCAUACUGAUAGUUUGUCGCGUACCGAUGAUUUGUUUUACCCUUUAUUAUUUUUAUGAUUUUUGAUUAUACACUUUUUACUUAAUUGAAUGCUUGAUGCAAGGUUUGCCUCCUGGGGUUUGCUGUAAGCUGAUUGCUGAGUUCUUUUGUUUUCGUUCGCCUGUCUGCUGAAAUAAAUUAAAAUCUGAUGUUUUUAUAUAAUAAAGCAUGCCUAAUAUGGUUAAUGGUAUUGUCAUUUCAUAUUUCUCGUUGUCAGAGGGGAUUAGGGAUGUAAAAUAAUCACUGGAUUAGAUCUAAGGAAAGAGGCAUCUUUAAAUUGUCAGCGAUUCUAUUCAUCUUCUAUUGGUGCUAAAAUCCCAUAUAAAUGACUAUCAAUUAUUGGCAAAUAGGCUGAUGAGAUUGUCGGUCGCCUAUAGCUUUUUCUUAAAUUUUCUUUUUCAUUUGAUUUUCUUGGCCAAUAAUGUUUUCUUCAUUUCUAAUGGUUACAUUUCAAUUAAUUAGGUAAUCUUUCUUCUUAAUUUUUGCAGCAACUUGCUGCACGCAAAGAGCAAUCUGCACUUCGGGCUGUCAUCAAGUGCAUUGAAGAGUACAAACUCGAGGCUGAGUUUCCGCCUGAAAACCUCAAGAAACGCCUUGAGCAGCUAGAGAAGACCAAGACUGAAAAGAGAAAACCAGUUGUAGUCCCUGCUAACAAGCGAACGCGUGUAAAUAAUGGUGGUCCGAUGCCUCCUGCUAAAGCUGGCCGUUUGACGAAUGCAUAUGUCUCAUCUUUCCCGGCACCUCCUCCAUUUGUAAGGUCUCCCUCCCACACCCAGUACCCUGCUCCAGUCCCAGGAUACCCAUCCCCACCUCCCAUGUAUGGAAGCAGGAGCCCACCCACCAACCCCUAUGCUUACUCACCGGAAGCAGUCCCUCCUCCCCUUGCUGGUUCAUACCCUGGAGCUCCCAUGAAUUAUCCCGCAUACGGGGGCUACGGUAAUGGUUUGGCACCAGCAUAUCAGCAGGCUUACUACCGAUAGACAACGAUGAC